GGAAGGACUCAUUCUGGGUGUUAACACAGCAGGGAACUGGAAGAAUCAGAACUGGAAGAAGAAGAAGUGAUUGGCAUGCUGACACGCUGCUGUAAGAAUUGCAGUGGGGAACAAUUACAUUGCUCAAAGAACACUUCACAAUUGGAGGGAAGAGAAUUAUGUCAGUGCUGAAGGAUUUCACAGCUGUACUCCAAAACAAACCUGGAAAUGUACAUUAUAGGUACUGGAAGCAAAAGAGUCUAUUAUUUUGUCUUCUUUUAGUUCCUCGAGGUGGUCCUGAUGGAAGCUGGAGAACCACUGUUAUACUGACUGUCAAUGAUGACGAUAAAGUUCCUGUCGUCAGCCUACUGAAGGAAGGGUCUUGGAAAGCAUUCAGGUCAUCAGCUGCUAUGCUAUGAACAUGCUCAGGCAACUCACAGAGAGGCCCUUGUCAUGGGAAACUGAGGCUGCCAGAAAGAAACCACCCAAGUGAGUUUGGCAGCAGAUUCUUCAGUCUCAGUCAAGCGUUGAGAUGACUGCAGCCUUGACAGACAGCACAACUGCAGCCUCGAGAGAAAGCCUGAGCCAGAGGCACCCAGCUAAGCUGUGCCCAGAUUUCUUAACUACAGAACUGGUGAUUAAUAAAUGUUUGCUGUUUUAAACCA